GAUGAACGCUGGCGGCGUGCCUAAUACAUGCAAGUCGAGCGAACAGAUGAGGAGCUUGCUCCUCUGACGUUAGCGGCGGACGGGUGAGUAACACGUGGAUAACCUACCUAUAAGACUGGGAUAACUUCGGGAAACCGUAGCUAAUACCGGAUAAUAUAUUGAACCGCAUGGUUCAAUAGUGAAAGACGGUUUUGCUGUCACUUAUAGAUGGAUCCGCGCCGCAUUAGCUAGUUGGUAAGGUAACGGCUUACCAAGGCAACGAUGCGUAGCCGACCUGAGAGGGUGAUCGGCCACACUGGAACUGAGACACGGUCCAGACUCCUACGGGAGGCAGCAGUAGGGAAUCUUCCGCAAUGGGCGAAAGCCUGACGGAGCAACGCCGCGUGAGUGAUGAAGGUCUUCGGAUCGUAAAACUCUGUUAUUAGGGAAGAACAUAUGUGUAAGUAACUGUGCACGUCUUGACGGUACCUAAUCAGAAAGCCACGGCUAACUACGUG
rnacentral:rRNA from 1 species